UACGUAGGUGGCAAGCGUUGUCCGGAUUUACUGGGCGUAAAGGAUGCGUAGGCGGACAUUUAAGUCAGAUGUGAAAUACCCGAGCUUAACUUGGGUGCUGCAUUUGAAACUGGGUGUCUAGAGUGCAGGAGAGGUAAGUGGAAUUCCUAGUGUAGCGGUGAAAUGCGUAGAGAUGUGGAGGAACACCAGUGGCGAAGGCGACUCUUUGGCCUGUAACUGACGCUGAGGCGCGAAAGCGUGGGGAGCAAACAGG
rnacentral:rRNA from 1 species